UUUGGGCAGAGGAUGAUAGAUUCUUGAUGGGUAAUUUGCGGCUGACCACAUUGGUGUGAUGCCUCACCUUGGAGACCUGAUGCCCAUU
rfam:Selaginella moellendorffii unplaced genomic scaffold SELMOscaffold_22, whole genome shotgun sequence.